GAAGUAGAUCCAAUCAUGCCACCUUGCUCAAAAAAUCUGCCAGUGCAUGAUGACUGAUCUCAGAGCAGUCUUCUGGUUCCAUAUGAUUUAGUCUAAUCCGUUACCCGAGCUGCUUGGAAGUAAGUGUAAUAACUCAUUUCCUCCAGUCUUUUCUGUCUUUACAUAAACUGCGAGAUGCCUGGUGAUUCACCAGUCUCUGUCGGUUUUACAGCCCCGGGUGUACGUGUGCGUGUGUUUGAUGUCAGAGCAUAUUAGUUCAUUCCUCGGUGCUACUGGCCUCGCUUCCACUUGACGUCACUGGGUAAAUAUGUUAUCCCGGAGUGGCUGAGAGACUGACUGCACUGUGUGUGUGCUUAUGUGUGUUAUCUGGUUUGAACUGUGGAAUGCCUGAAGGAAGCUGAAGGCUGGGUUUUGGUUUUAACAGAUACUGCAGCAAGCAGACUACACCACAGAAACAUCCAAUAAUAACACUUUAUUAAGCCACAGCUAGUCACUCUAGGGGAGCUUCCUGGCAAUGGCAAUGGAUAAUGCAGGUUCUCAGCCUUCAGGUCUCGAUGGACGAUGCUGCGCUCGUGGCAGUACUCCACAGCUGACAGGAUCUGCCAGAACUUUCUCCGUGCUUCUGCCUCACUCAAGCGCCCAUGGCUAGCCAGGGCCAUGAUCUCGUCACGCUUUUUGGCCUAUGGGAAAAAGACACAAGAGGCUGAUGCGUGAAGAAAGCAAGCUGUGAUGUUAGAGAACUAACCAGCUUUGUCUCCACCAGUAGUAAUCUAUGCACGUUAUGGCCACGAGGCUGAGAAUGCAGCAGCCAGCUGGCAAGAGAAACUGCAACUACUAAACAAGCCUCAUAACUCUGAUUUAACACUCCCGCUUCGUGGCUACAUGGCUGGCUGGUAAUUAACGUCAUUUGAUUGAUUUCAUUCUGAAUAUGGUCUCGUUAGCCAUUCAUCAA